CAGUCGCCGCGGUAAUACGGAGGGUGCAAGCGUUAAUCGGAAUUACUGGGCGUAAAGCGUGCGUAGGCGGUUCGUUAAGUCUGUUGUGAAAGCCCCGGGCUCAACCUGGGAAUGGCAAUGGAUACUGGCGAGCUAGAGUGUGUCAGAGGAAGGUGGAAUUCCCGGUGUAGCGGUGAAAUGCGUAGAGAUCGGGAGGAACAUCAGUGGCGAAGGCGGCCAUCUGGGACAACACUGACGCUGAGGCACGAAAGCGUGGGGAGCAAACAGGAUUAGAUACCCCGGUAGUCCCUGUCUCUUAUAC
rnacentral:rRNA from 1 species